GGAGAACGUCCGCCCCCGAAUGCGGGCUGUGGGUGUGAUGGCUUGCAACUAACGCUAUAUAAGUAUCAGUUUCUGUACUUUAUUGGUAUGCGAAACUUCCGGAACCCGUCUUCCGGCAACAUUUUGGAAGCGCGGAGGCGCUCUUUUUUUUGUGUGCGUGUGUGUGUGGCGGCGGGUCCCGCGCGGGCGCCGGCGGCUUCCGUAGCGGUGGCCCCGCCGCCCCGAGGGGGCCGCGACGCCGCGGGGCAGGCGUCCCCGAGAGCGCCGCCCGGAAACCUUCGCGAAAGCGUUGCUACAAAUGCUAUCGCCGUUUUUCUGGCGUCCUUCCCAUUCGUAUGUUUUUCUGCACAACCGUUUUUUGUGUUUCACAAUAGCCACCGAGCAAACGAAGAAAAAUAGCUGCACACCUUAUGGUGAAAUGCUUGGCUACGGGGUGGGGUGGCGUUCAGCACCCGGCGCCGCUGUUUCUCCGCUGGGUUUGAAUAUCUGCGGGUGAAGAGGAGGGGCUGAGAGAUUGCUCAGACGCUGCUGACUUUUUACAGACUGGCAAGUGGCAACCGUCGGUGAAGGGGCCAUACCUUUCCCGCCGCGCAGUACAGGACCGCGAAAGGAAGUCGUAUGAUCCAACAACCCCCCACCCCCUCGAACCCGCAUGACCUCUUGCGACUGUAUUCUUUACUCGCACAACGUUGCAGCUACAAAUCACACCUCUUGCUCAGGUACUGUUCCCCCUCCUCUCCCCUCUUUCUCCACGCGACACGCCGGCCAAACGCAAACAAACCCACACCCCCUCACCUUGUGUGUUCAUCAAG
rnacentral:misc_RNA from 1 species